GGCCUUGACAUACUAAGAACUUUCCAGAGAUGGAUUGGUGCCUUCGGGAACUUAGAUACAGGUGCUGCAUGGCUGUCGUCAGCUCGUGUCGUGAGAUGUUGGGUUAAGUCCGCAACGAGCGCAACCUUUUCCUUAUUUGCCAGCGGGUAAUGCCGGGAACUUUAAGGAUACUGCCAGUGACAAACUGGAGGAAGGCGGGGACGACGUCAAGUCAUCAUGGCCCUUACGGCCAGGGCUACACACGUGCUACAAUGGUCGGUACAAAGGGUUGCUACCUCGCGAGAGGAUGCUAAUCUCAAAAAGCCGAUCGUAGUCCGGAUCGCAGUCUGCAACUCGACUGCGUGAAGUCGGAAUCGCUAGUAAUCGCGGAUCAGAAUGCCGCGGUGAAUACGUUCCCGGGCCUUGUACACACCGCCCGUCACACCAUGGGAGUUUGUUGCACCAGAAGUAGGUAGUCUAACCGCAAGGAGGACGCUUACCACGGUGUGGCCGAUGACUGGGGUGAAGUCGUAACAAGGUAGGCGUAGAUGA
rnacentral:rRNA from 1 species